UCAAUGAUCAGAAAAAUGUCACAGCUGGUAAUAAAAACUUUCAAGUCAGAGUAUGUGCCUCCUGGAGACAUCUAAGGACUACACUCUGCCAAUGAGGUGCUUGAUAAUAGUCUUUCAGAUUUCUGAGGAGAAGGCAAACCAGGGUCAGUUGUGGUGGCAAAUCGAAAGGAAAUUUUUGGCUGUUCAUAAAAAUGUAUAAAUAAGGCUCCGAAGCAGCAAAAGGAACCGAUUGCUUCAAUGAGCUCAUUAUCAAACCCAAAACUGGCUGCUUCAAAAGUCUGUAAUGUCAGCUGGGCACAGUGGCUCACGCCAGUAAUCCCAGCAUAUUGGGAGACUGAGGCGGGUGGAUCAGUCAACGUCAGGAAUUUGAGACCAGCCUGGACAACAUGGUGAAACCCCAUCUCUACCAAAAAUACAAAAAUUAGCCAGGUGUGGUGGUGUGCACCUGUAAUCCCAGCUACUUGGGAGGCUGAGAUGGGAGAGUCACUUGGACCCAGGAGGUGGAGGUUGCAGUGAUCUGAGAUCAUGCCACUGCACUCCAACCUGGGUGACAGAGUGAGACUAUCUCAAAACCAAAAGUCUGUAGCGUAAGGGGUGUAACCCCAGAGGAUGUUGGCAGGCUUCCACCUCAAUUGUAAAGGAAAAAACUACAAGAGAAAGUCAAUGACAUAAAUACAGAUGGAGAUGGAUCAAAGAAAUGGCAUAACAAAAAUGAAAAACAUGUAUGAAAGGAACCCUCAAAUGGGAGACACAGCCAGUCUGAGUCACAAAUUAACAAAAUUAAGACAAAAAUAUAGAAAAACAAGAGGCCUAGAAAUUUGAAGUCUAGCUGCCUGAGGUUGAAGGCAGGCUCACACAAUCAAGUUAACAGGCCUGACAACAGAGUGGAAUGUACAAAAACCCAAUCCAAAAUCCCAGAGAGGUUUGCACAAGACUGGAAGGGCUCAGAAGGCAGUUACAUAGAGGAGCCAGUCAAGAGAGUGGGGUGAGGAGUUCUGGUUGUGGAUUUUGAUAGUGAAAUACAUAUAUAUUUUUGUUUGUUUUGAGACAGUCUUACUCUGUUACCCAGGCUGGAGUGACUCGGUCAUGGCUUACUGUAGCCUCGACCUCCCAGGCUGAAGCUCUUCUCCCACCUCCGCCUCCCAAGUAGCUGGGACUAAAGGCAUGUGCCACUACACCUAAUUAAUUAAUUACUUUUUUUUUUUUUUAAUUGAGACAGGGUCUCCCUCUGUCUCCAGGCCGGAGUUCAGUGGUGUGAUCUUGGCUCACUGCAACCUCCUCCUCCCAGGUUCAAGGGAUUCUCCUGCCUCAGUCUCCCGAGUAGCUGGGAUUACAGGCAUGUGCUGCCAUGCCCAGAUAAUUUUUGUAUUUUUUUUGUAGAGAUGGUGUUUCACCUUGUUGGCCAGGAUGGUCUCAAUCUCCUGACCUCAUGAUCCACCCACCUUGGCCUCCCAAAAUGCUGGGAUUACAGGCAUGAGCCACUGUGCUCAGCCUAAUUUUUGCAUUUUUUAUAGAGAUGGGAUUUCACAAUUUUGCCCAGGCUAGCCUUGAACUCCUGGACUCAAACGAUCCACCCACCUUGGCCUCCCAGAGUGCUGAGAUUACAGGCAUGAGAAACCACACCCAGCCUUGAUAAUGAAUUUGAUAAGGAACUGCUUCCUGCCUUAGGGACUUGGAAAGCCCUCUACGUGUUUGAAGUUCAGAAUGAAGGAAUCAUUUCAGUAGUUGAAGCAAAAAUGUUGUAUAUUAUAGAGGAAGAUGAAGGUGCUGGGUGAAUCUGCUUUUGGAAAAAUGAAGAUGAAAAGAUUUUUGGUUUUAAAAAUGCUUUCUGUCAAACCCAUCUAUAAUUCCCCCAGAAUAUAUUCGUAUGGACUAAGGCUUACCAAAAAUAAGGAACAUUGGAGAAACUGCCACCGCCAGGAGGAGCCAAGGGGACAUGAUGACUAAAAGUAAUCUGGUUUCAUGGAGGGGCUACCUAGAAAAAAGACAUUAAAGAAAGACUAAGGAAACCUGAAUAAAGUAUGAGCUGUCAUUAAUAAUAGUGUAACAAAUUCAUUGUAACAAAUGCCCCAUACUCAGGUAGGAUGUGAAUAAUCAGGGAAACUGAAUGUGGGACAUAUGGGAACUCCCCUGUCUUCAGAAUUUUUCUGUAAAUAUAGAACUGUUCUAAAACAAUAAAGACUAUUAAAAAAA
rnacentral:lncRNA from 1 species